AUGAGAGAUGAUACGAGUGGCUUUAAUUCCUCGCAGACAAGUAUAAAUAAUUAAUAUAAUCGGAAGAAUGAAAAUCCUCUACUUCCGUGUAAAGCAACGCCGGGAAGCAUUUCCUUCGACAUCUUUCUCGACUUCACUUUCAGAUUAGACAGAAGCAAGAAAUCUGUGGCGAAAGAGGCGCCAAGACAAGCGUUAACAAGCAUGUUCAGCAUGAUGGAUACCAUUGGUUGUAGCCAUGUUGAGUUCCUUGAUCUAAAUGAUGGAGUCUUCUCCUUCCAAGUUGACACCCAUGAAACAGAUGGGCCAAUGAGAGAGGAUUCCUUCAGAAAGUCUUUACUGUGCUCAACCCAUUUAAUCCGAAAUAAGGACAACAGAUAUUUGCUUUUAAGUGAUGACAGCCAGUUUGAAGUCCUAAACUUAACUAUCCAGCAGCUACGCCAGUCUGAUUGCAAAUUCAACAUUCAACUUUACAAUGAAUCAGGCCAAAAGGCCAGGAACGGCUCUGCUGUCAUGCUGUAUGCCAACAAAAAUGGUAAUAAAUUUGUGGUUUGCUGCAGUGACGAGCAUGAAAUUUACCCUGAGGCAAUGGAUCCUCCAGAGAAUAUUAAGUCAACUCAACACAAGGCCGUGUUCUACAUGACAAAACUCCCACAAUCCAACAAAUACAUGUUAGAGUCCUCCUUGCACAGGUGUCAGUUUUUGGGUUUCGAGCCUGACAAGGAUAAUCCUCGUCAGGUCAACUUGGUCUUACAUCAUCGAGUUGAUGAAGUGGAUGAAUGCUGCGAGAUAACGUUGUUGUAAAUAUUUCACAACCUUAUUUAGAAGUGGCCUCUGAAGGCUGCAACUCAUCUGACAUACUUGGCAGGCAGUGUGAGUUCAGCGUGGGUGUGAGUGUGAAUGGUUGUUUGUCUCCAUACAUGCCCUGGCACGGACUGGUCCAGAGGGUAAUCUGUCUUUUGUCACAAGAAAUGGAUGAUGGUUUUUAUCGAAAUAAACUAAGCUUUUUUAAAAAUAUUUAUGAAAUGUACAGUGGAACCUGUUUAAGACCCUUGGAUUGGCUGAGUCACGUCGGCAUAAGUGGACAUAGCCUUUGCUUGCACAUGUACUUGUGACUUUUGCCAGAGACUUAUGGAGAAUGGUUGAGAAAGGAUUUUUGAACCUACAUACAUCUUACAGUCUUUCCUUGUUUAUUGCGGUUAAUUGGUUCCAGACCCGACUGCGAUAAGUGAAUUUCUGCAAAGUAGGAUUCGAUAGUAAUAAAUGGAAUAUUGUCCUAGUUAGUGCUAGGGCAGGGUGAUAUGGACCAAAACUCAUAUCCUGAUAUAUUUAGGUUGAAUGUCAAUAUACGAUAUAUACAAUGUUCCCUUGUUUAUCGCAGGGGAUAGGUUCCCAAAAUAGCCCUCAAUAAGUGAAAUCUGCAAAUGUAAAACCCCGCACCAUAAUCAACACAAGACAUUUUUAAGUCACUCACACGUAUUGAGACUGAGCAGUGCACUGUUGCCAACUCUUCGGUAAGAAAAGUAGCUAUUGGCUGUCAGAGAAGGUGCAAAUAAUAUUUCCUAAUUAUUUGCAUACGAUGUUGUAAGAGAUGCUGUAGGAAAAAAGCGUAACCUCAUAGGAGAGACAAAAGUGACUAAAAACACCUUUGUUAUGUGUAGCACUACGAGUAAACUUGAUUCUUAGUUUGUUCAUUUAAAAUUGACCAUCUCUUCAUAAAAAUAAAAUAAUAAUUUAAAUAUUUUAUCCCGGCCAGCGGCUCUCAAAAUCUUGACAGCGUAAUAAUUACAUCUAGACUCACCUCCAGCCUCCACCUCUUGUAGUUAAGGACUACUUGUUUAACUUAUCACGCAUUGUUCUUCCAUCACACUUUAUGAAACACUGACAGGUUAAUGAACGAGUCAGAAUGAGGCUUGAGUGUAAUGAUUAGUAAUUUCAUGAAGAUUAACAAAUAUUUAAGUUUUGAAUCCCGCUCUGUAAAACAGGGCGACAUCCAUCCUUGUGGCAUCGUACCUCGUGCAUGGGGGAUUCACGGAUGCGUAGAGCUCCACUAUGCUCUCAGUGUGCGGUGGGAGCUGACAGUGCACUGACGGCUUGUGACUGCACCCUCUGCUGUUCAGAGAAAACAGAAAAUGCAGAUCAAUAUGUGCAAUAUGUGAUCUAUAGUCACCUUUUCACUUGUAUUACCCAACAUAGAAGACAUAGUAACAGAAAAUAAGCCAUUUUAGACAUUAAUAAGAAGUGCUUGUGUGUGUUGCUGUAAAUGUGCUACUGAGUGGGGGGAGGACAGGAAGUGAUGGUGGGGGUUCAGAGUUGAAUUUUAGCAUACCGGCAUAUCAAGUCUGGUGAGAUUUAUUAGAAGCAUAAUACCUGAAAUUAAGUUAUAAAAAUAUCAGGGGUUUACAGAUGGCAGACCAAAUCCAUUAUUUUUACUAAGCUAAUAUUCUACUGGUUGGAGACCCCUGGUUUCGAGACGUUUCCCAACAGUUGUGAAGCUGAGGCACAUGAGAAAAGUCUCAACAGGUGGAUACACAAUUUAAUGGUGUGCCUUCUGCCAUCUAGUGGAAGAGCUUGUAAUUGUUCUGCCUGCCAUUAAGUGACUGGCAUAGAUAGAUAAAACAAAGGGAAUGAAUACAAAUUUUCAGACCAAUUAAGUGAAAUUGGAUAAUUUCCUGUAGCACGCCUGACAAUCUUCAAGACACACUCGUGCCACGACACAAUGGUUGGGUGUCACUGGUUUAGAAAACAUUUUGUGAAAUUGUGACAAAUGCUAGGAAACAUAUGGUUUGUGCGCUGAUAUUUGGCACCUCGACAAACUUCAUGAACUGAGUAGCGGUGAUAAGAACAAGGCUCCAAACAAACAGCAAGUGGUGAAAAUAAAAUGUUUAUUUUCCAAAGCUUUGAUGUUUGCUGACUUACAAUGAUUGAGUGACACACAGGCUCAUUUGUUGGCAGAAGGCAGUAUUCAACUUUCGUCAAACUGGACCCAUCAGCAUCACAUGGACGUUCAGAGUUUCCCUACUUUACAUUUGGGGUGCACUCAUGCACGUGGGUUGGGUUGGUAAUCAACACGCCGACACACAUACAUACAUACAUAUGCGCGUUGUCGCCGACUGUAUUGCAGUCAAUUCUGCACAGUUACAUUUCACAAACUUUCAGAAUAGAAAGACUGCAUGCAAAUUAGUCCACAAAGUCAAAAUAAAGACGUGACAUUUAUUUCAUGUGAUCACUCCUACCUUCAUGGGGAGCCAGAGUGCCUCCCAUUUAUAAUUGUAGGGGUAACACUGACGUUAAAAUGUUACCUUGGAUGGGUCAGGAAGCAAACAUAUGUACAAAUUAUAGUAAACCAGCAAUACAUUUGGAAAACAAUGAUUCAACAAAUAGAACCCUAAUGACAGAAAUUAUGAACUCGAUGUCAGACAGGACUACUGUGACAUAAGUUUUGUUGAAAAUAUGUCAGGAUAGUCAUAUGGCAUGGUACAUAGUAUAGAACUAGACAGUGACAGUAAAGAAGAUACCUGCGCACAGGUAAAAAAAUUGGCUGAACUUUGUAAGAAAACAGAGCAGAGAUGAAUAUGACUUGCAAUACACUUUGUCAAAAUUAUAUAUUCAUUAGAAUUUAUAUUAAAUAUGUUUGGGUCAUUCUUCCAGAGCUUCCCAGUCCACAAACACUUUCAUUUGCUCCAAAGCAGGGCGAUGGCUUUGCAGAUGCCCACGUCGUUGUAGUUGAAGUAACAAAGGCCAGCAAAAGUGACUGUGGACAGGAGGAAGAGACCCGCAUGGGCGACCUUGACUUUGGUGUCUCCGUGGACAUAAUCUGUCAACACCUGCCCAAGACCCCUACAAGACAGAAGUGUGUGAAAAGCACCUCUCGAGCUCCAUCGGGUUGGAUGGGAAGCGUCACUCUCCAGGGAUGUUCAUUGUGAUUCAAGUCUGGGGUGUCCUGAAGCCACUCCAUUGAUAUCUUGCCUGUGUGCUCAGGAUUGGAACCAUUUCCCCAGUCUAAGGUCAAGAGCGCUCUGGAGCAGGUUUUCAUCCAGGAUGUGUCUGUACAUUGCUGCAUUCUUCUUACCCUCUAUCCUGACUUCUAGUUCCCGUCGCUGAGAAUUAUCCCCACAUUGUGACGCGGCCACCAGCAUGCUUCACUGUAGGGGUGCUAUUGGUCUGGUGAGGAGCUGUGCAUGGUUUCCUCCAAACAGGACACCAGAGUUCAAGCUUUGUCUUAUCAGAUCAGAGAAUUUAGUUUCUCAUAGGUGCCUUUUGGCAAACUCCAGGUGGGUUGCCAUGUGUCUUUUACUAAAGGAGUGCCUUCUGUCUGGACACUUUAUCAUAGGCCUAAUUGAUGGGUUCCUGCACAGAAGACUGUCCUUCUGACUCUCCUGGAAAGGCUCAUGGUGGUUCAAAACCUUUUCCAUUUAUGGAUAAUAGAGGCCACUUUCAAUGCAGCAUCAUUUUUUUGUACUUCUGUAUUUGCUCAAAUUUUUCCCUGGAGACAAUCCUGCCUCUGAGGUCUACAGACAAUUCCUUUGACUUUAUGCCUGCUUGUGUACUGUCCUGCUUUUGUGUCCUUUCCAAAUCAUGUCCAAUCAACUGAAUUUAAAAGAGGUAGUCUCCAAUGAAGCUGUAGAAAAAUCUAAAAAAUGAUCAGUGGAAACAGGAUGUACCUGAGCUCAAUUUUCAGCUACAUGGCAAUACUUACGUACAUUCUAUUUCUUAGUAUUUUAUUUUUAAUACAUUUGCAAACAUUUCCCCCCCAGAAUUCAUGUCAUUAUGGGGCGAAGUAUGAAGAGAAAAUUAAUUUAUUCUAUUCUAGAAUAAGGCUGUAACAUAAAAUGUGAAAAAAGGUGAAGCGUUGAGAACACUUUCCGGAUGUACUGUACGUGAACUUCUGACCAAACCGUCUCAUUGCUGUUUACUUCAUGGGACAUCUACUGGAGUUGUAACAUUUUACCUAAUGCUCAGUACUGACUGACACUCAGUUUUCUUCUCCAUAUUUAAUUACACUUUUUAUUUGUUUUACAAAACCUGAUGUGUCAUAUCACUUUUAUCCAUGUAGUAUAUGCAAGUAUGCAAGACGGAAAGAUAUUGCCUCUUGGCUUCCAACAUAACUGUAAUAAAUGUGACCCAAACACAUCUCUUAGACAAAAAUAAGAGCUUUCAUGAAAGGUGUAUAUAAAGUGACGGUGUUUCAGCCUAGGUAGAACACACUCUACUUUCCACUUCCUGUGGUGAAUGUGUAGUCAUAUUUGUGGUAUGCAAUUGCAGAGUACAGGAAGUCAAAUUCUUAUUGAAAAUCAGUGGGUUUGAGAUCAUGGGUAAAGGGAUUUUUUUCAUAAUGUUGUACAAUUUAAGACUGACAUUAAGUGGCGGGGAAGGGGGGUAUCUAGAUGACAUCAUUGUUUAAUUUGCAGAACUUGACAUGACGCAGGCGCAUGUCAUUUUUUUAGACUACGUAUAUUUAAAGACAUUUUUUGUGUUAUUAGUAUCAGCAUUUCAGCAAAAAAAAAAAAGAGCAGUGGGCUACAGAUGGCCCCGGAUUGCACUUUGGACACCCCUUGUUUAUGUAUUUCACCUUCCCGGUGAGGGAAAAGUGAAGCGUUACCACACGAUGGAAAGGCCCAUCUCCUUCGCUAGUCAUGACUCCUGCUUGACAAAGGCUGGGCUGCACGCUUGUGGAGGUCUUCCGCACGCUUUCACACCUCGCCUCACCAUUGUGGUGGUGAUGAUGUGCACACACACACACAUCAAGCUUGUGGAGGUGUGCUCCCGCAGCAAAUACUUUGCCUUUUGUGACCACUUGUAUUUGAUUACAGAGUAAAUCCAUGACGCAAAAAACACUUCCUGUUUUUCACAUUUAACGCGUAACUCGUGGGAUUUCGGAGCGGACGUAUGAAGGAUAUAGCCACCUAACCGGUUCCACCAAAUCCAUUUGUUGUGGCUCAAAUUAAUUAGUGGCAUGUCGCCACAAAUAAAUGACUGUAUGGGAAACACUGAGGUUCGAUUGUCCACGCUUAUUUGAUACAUAUACUAUUAUUGCAAUUUCAAUGUACUACCCAAGGUCUAUUACACAGAAAUAAAAAUUUACGUUAGGUAAUACGAGAGUAAAGCCAUUUAAAGCCGCCAUUAAUACAUUGAUGAGACAAUAGCCACUGCAGGAAGUACGCUGUCCAGAAAAAAACAAGGAACUGCUAACGUGUGAGUCUAUGUUAUCUUAUUCAUGUCUGUCUCAUUUUCUGUGAUUAUAUCUACUAUAUUAGGUAAUACAAAUAUAAAGGUGGCUAUAUGGGUGUUUGAUACAUUUCUACACACUAGGAUGCAUCCAGGCGUCAUGUCCCAUAUUAAAAGUGUCUUCUUCAAGAACAUUCUGACAUUUAUUAAACAAUUAAGUAUUUAUUGUAUCCAUAUACUUGAAUAAAUUGACUAAUUUCAGCUUCUGUAGCUUUAGGUUGUGUGCUUGGUGUAAACGUUGCCCCCUCCCUCUGGCUUAGUCUUCUUUUCUUGUGAAUUUAAUGUUGUGAGGAACGGUGCCGUGACACUCCUUAAAAAAAGCUUGCUCUGACAAUAACUCCAUAAAUACCUCUAAAUGCCACUUAUAGUCCAGUGAAACUUCUGUUUUUUUUUCUCUUCAUGCAUUUUUUGACUGAUGCGACUUAAACUGAAAACACUGUCUUGGUCUCUAACCCGGCCAAUGUUUUCUACAAAGUGUUGAAAGUGACUGAUGUGAUGAUUUCUGCUACUUCUUAUCAAUGUUGAGCUGCCUCGGACUUUGUAUAUUCACCAUGAGCUAGGUGUGUUUGCCAUGGAGAAACCUUCUCCCAUGCGCUAUCACAGCAGAGAUAACACAGAAAUGUGAUGGUGGGUGAGAUAACGAUAUGCAA